GUGUGAAUCCCAGGGCGCUUCUCCUUUGGCACGGAGGCAUACAUGCAUAACCAGGUGAAGAAGCUCCAGGCCGACCAGUGCGUACCGCUAGCCAGCCGCGUCGUGCGUGCCAAAGGAGAAUUGCCCUGCGAUUCACCU
rfam:Hordeum vulgare subsp. vulgare, WGS project CAJW01000000 data, contig: morex_contig_1589067